UUCAAUUCAAAUCUUAAAUCUAAACCUCAAACCCUAAAUUCUUUACAUCUUUUCAAACCCUAAACUCUAUAUCCCUAUUCAAACAUCAUAUAAACCCUAAACUUUAAAUGAAAAAUCCCAGAUCUAAUAUUUCCAAGUUUUAAUAAAACAAACAACUAUUAAAAAUUAUUAUAAAUAUAUGAUCUUUUCAAAUUUUCUUUUUCAAACAUUAAAUAUAACCUUUGAACCCUAUCACACAAACCUUUGCUUUAAAAUCUUAUAUGUUAAAUCUGAAAUUCAAUAGUUCUUAUCGUAACUUUAUAAUUGUAAAUGAUAAUUUAAUUUUUACAUAAAUAAAACUAGUUACAUAAUAAAAUUAUAAUUUUUAAAACAUCUAUUAAAUAAAACAGUUUUGAUUAGUUAAUCUAUGACUAUUGAUUCCUUUUAAUCCAAUGGUUACUCACUCUUUUGUUAAUCCUUUCCCUUCUUUCUCAUUGGUCAAUUAAUAAAACAAAGAGUAAAAAAUUUCAUUGGUUAAAACAGGAUGGUGAGGAUAGCUAAUAUAUUUGAUCUCCACCGUUGAUAUAACUCAAUCUAACGGACAAAAGUGAUUCAGUUUAAUAUUUUAUUUUUUUGCAUUAUCUCUUUCAUCUUCUUUCUCACGAUCUCUCGUCUCCUCCUCUCUCACCAUCUCUUCAAUCUUCUUGCUCAUAACUCAUCUGAAAUCCUCCUCUCUCAUCAUCUCAUAUCCUGCAAUCAUCUUCUCCUAUCAAUUCUCCUCUUUCAUCACCUAUUCAAUCCUCAUCUCACGAUCUCUCAAACUCGUCCUCUGUCGUAACGGGUUCAAGCACACCACCAUCACCAUGACCUCGCCUCCUCCUCUUUGGAUCUGGAAUAAUGAUGAAAGGGAUGCGCGCCAGAGGUGAAGGUUGACAUAGCGGAGAUGCGCCGGAGGUGUUACGAACCAGAGACGGAGGCGGAGGUAGAUGUGGUUCAGAGCAAGGUGAUUUGAGGCGGGGGCAUGAGGAGGCGGAGGCACGAAUACGCGGAAGCCAGAGGUCGAAGACGGCGGAGUUAAGAAGAUUGGUUUAGUCGUUACCGUAUUAGGUUUAGUUAGUAAAUAGGUUUAGGUUAAAUCUUGGUUUAAGUUUUUGGUUUAGUUUUGAUUUAUUUUCUAAUUUGUAUACCAUAUUCUUUUUGUAAACCAGUUUUAUUAUAAAUCAGUUUAAAUAAUAAACAAAUUUUUAAAUAUAUAAACCAAUUUAAAUUUUAAUUAUGUUUUUAUUUUCAAGCAAUUAAAUUUCCAUAAAUAAUUUUUAAAAUAAAAAAUUUUAAUAUAAGUAAUAGCAUUUAUGACACGCUAUUAAAUAAUAUUUAAUUGCAGAUAGAAAACGUUAUGGUAUCGGAAGAAAAGAUAGCAGCAUAAAAAACCGCUAUGUAAUGUCUUUUACCUAUUAUGACGGGCGAUGAUACAGCGUUUCAAAAACCGCUAUAGUAUCGUUAUAUAGCGUUAUUCGUCCGCUAUUAAAACGCAUUUUUCUUGUAGUGAGACAAGAGUCGUGAAUAGAAAAGAGCUCCUCACUAAAUAACAUGUGUCGAACGUCGUUUUCCCCGUUGCUUGGUUCCCAAGUUGCUGUCCUCAUCUGCUAAUGUUAAUUUUGCAUGGAAAUUGCCUAUUAUAAUUCAAUUGUUAAUCUUAAUCAAUUUCUUUUUUAGAUUAAUAUGUAUCCACGCAUCCACGUAUGCUCCAGAAAUAUUAAAAUGUUCUCGAAAUUUAAGGAAAGUUUCGUUUGGUUUUGUUAUUCCACUCGGAACUUAUAUCAAAAGUAGAAGGUGUUAACUUAAAUUUCCUCUUUACAGCAAAUGGUUGGCUGACACGACAUGGAGCAACUUAGAGCAGAAGUUAACAGUUCUCACUUAAAGGCAUCUCCUCUGCCUAUAUAAAUCAGCCCACAUUUUGCAUGCCUUCUCAAUUACAAAAGCAUCAAACAAACACAAGAACAAAAGUACAAAACACACACAUAGAUACAAAUAAAUAGGCUAAUAGGAAUAUGAAUUCCAAAGGAGAAAUUUCUAGUUCUACUGCGGAGCGUAAGGUGAAGAAAGAAGCAGCGAGUGUGAUUCCCGUUAAGAGGAAGCUGGUGAAGACUAUGGCCGUCGAAGCCAUUAUCUCUGCCUUUUCUCCCUGUAGUAGCCGGACCUCUGAUCACUCUAAUGGCAACGGCCACGGGAAGGGCAACGGAGGGUGCGUGUACCCAACUCAUCCUUGACCGGUUCUAUUCUUGGGGUUUAGGGUAUUUGCGCCGCCAUGAUAUUUUGUGGGUUUGAUAUAUAUGUAGAUGUAAUAUGUUGGUGUUCUCACCGUGUAACCUCUGUUUCUCUUUUUUUUUUUUAUGUUUUAAAUUAAAUGUUUCUAUUGUUCAGUUUCCGGUAGGGGUAACAAACGGCGAUGAUUAUGAUGUCCUCUUUGUAAAUAAACCGAUUAAGUUGUGGUAUUA